rnacentral:rRNA from 1 species
CCUACGGGAGGCAGCAGUGGGGAAUAUUGGACAAUGGGCGAAAGCCUGAUCCAGCCAUGCCGCGUGUGUGAAGAAGGCCUUUUGGUUGUAAAGCACUUUAAGCGAGGAGGAGGCUACCUGGAUUAAUACUCUAGGAUAGUGGACGUUACUCGCAGAAUAAGCACCGGCUAACUCUGUGCCAGCAGCCGCGGUAAUACAGAGGGUGCGAGCGUUAAUCGGAUUUACUGGGCGUAAAGCGUGCGUAGGCGGCUUUUUAAGUCGGAUGUGAAAUCCCUGAGCUUAACUUAGGAAUUGCAUUCGAUACUGGGAAGCUAGAGUAUGGGAGAGGAUGGUAGAAUUCCAGGUGUAGCGGUGAAAUGCGUAGAGAUCUGGAGGAAUACCGAUGGCGAAGGCAGCCAUCUGGCCUAAUACUGACGCUGAGGUACGAAAGCAUGGGGAGCAAACAGGAUUAGAUACCCUGGUAGUCCAUGCCGUAAACGAUGUCUACUAGCCGUUGGGGCCUUUGAGGCUUUAGUGGCGCAGCUAACGCGAUAAGUAGACCGCCUGGGGAGUACGGUCGCAAGACUAAAACUCAAAGGAAUUGACGG